UUUGGGGACUUGGGACCGAUUUUGGAAAAUUCUUCAUCAACGGGAAUUUAGCUGAGAAAUCGCCUCCGUUUUGAACGACUUCGUCGAGGGAAUCGCACCAAAAUAAUUCCCGAGUUCCUCGUCAGGAAUUCCCCAGUGGGCGGAUUGGCCGAUCGACUUAACAGAGCGUCCUCGGAUCGCCUUUUGUUCGAAAUAUAACGUCUCUGUUUACGAGAUUGAACAAAAUGACGUUUGCCCCAACGAGAAGGUGGGCCGUGAAUCGACGAAGCAGCGCAACAACGGCAGCGACAAUAUCACGAAGAAUAGUGACGAGAAUGAUGAAAAAAUGAAGACAAAUGUGAAACACCGAAUGGCCCAAAGGUCAUGGGACUCCGAGCGAGUAUUUUUUUAAAGAAAGCUGCUUAAGAGCAUGGAUCAGUCGACUAACCUCACUUGAAAUUUUCGAAAUCGAAAUUCUUU